rnacentral:rRNA from 1 species
GAUGAACGCUGGCGGCGUGCCUAAUACAUGCAAGUCGAGCGAACAGACGAGGAGCUUGCUCCUCUGACGUUAGCGGCGGACGGGUGAGUAACACGUGGAUAACCUACCUAUAAGACUGGGAUAACUUCGGGAAACCGGAGCUAAUACCGGAUAAUAUAUUGAACCGCAUGGUUCAAUAGUGAAAGACGGUUUUGCUGUCACUUAUAGAUGGAUCCGCGCCGCAUUAGCUAGUUGGUAAGGUAACGGCUUACCAAGGCGACGAUGCGUAGCCGACCUGAGAGGGUGAUCGGCCACACUGGAACUGAGACACGGUCCAGACUCCUACGGGAGGCAGCAGUAGGGAAUCUUCCGCAAUGGGCGAGAGCUUGACGGAGCAACGCCGCGUGAGUGAUGAAGGUCUUCGGAUCGUAAAACUCUGUUAUUAGGGAAGAACAAAUGUGUAAGUAACUAUGCACGUCUUGACGGUACCUAAUCAGAAAGCCACGGCUAACUACGUG